rnacentral:tRNA from 1 species
GCCUGGGUGGUUCAGUGGGUUAAGCAUCUGACUUUGGCUCAGGUCAUGAUCCCCGCAGUUCGUGGGUUCAAGCCUCACAUCGGGCU